rnacentral:tRNA from 1 species
ACUUAAAUAGCUUAUAAUUAGAGUAUAAUUUUGAAGAAGUUAUGGAAAUCUUAGAUUUUUAAGUA